ACAAACUUGGUCAUUUAGAGGAAGUAAAAGUCGUAACAAGGUUUCCGUAGGUGAACCUGCGGAAGGAUCAUUAAUGAGUUUUGAAGGCGGGGGCCUGCUGCUGGUGCAGAAAUGCGCAUGUGCACGGCUCCUGUGCUCAAUCUACUCCAACUCCUGUGCACCUUUGCAGAGCGAGUAGGCUCGUACUUCUUUGUUGAAGUGUUUAGUAGCUGGUAAGGCGAGCGUGCGCAAGCGCGAGUAGCUUGAAGGUGAAAGGACUUCUUCUCGUUUGAAGUGUCAAGUUAGUGAUUAAGGCGAACGUGCGUGAGCAUUAGUAGCUUGAAAGCUAAAGGGAUACAUCAUUUAGAGAGAGAGGUGCGGACGAAAGCUUUGAUGUUUAUUAACUCUUUGUAUGUCUUGUGGAUGUUGGUUGCUCCUUGUGAGCGAAAUAAAUACAACUUUCAACAACGGAUCUCUUGGCUCUCGCAUCGAUGAAGAACGCAGC
rnacentral:misc_RNA from 1 species